CACGUAGGGGGCAAGCGUUGUCCGGAAUCAUUGGGCGUAAAGAGCUCGUAGGCGGCUCAGUAAGUCGGGUGUGAAACCCUCAGGCUCAACCUGGGGACGCCACCCGAUACUGCUGUGGCUAGAGUCCAGUAGGGGAGUGUGGAAUUCCCGGUGUAGCGGUGGAAUGCGCAGAUAUCAGGAAGAACACCAACGGCGAAGGCAGCUCGCUGGGACGGUACUGACGCUGAGACGCGAAAGCGUGGGGAGCGAACAGG
rnacentral:rRNA from 1 species